AGGUUAAGUUAGAAAGGGCGCACGGUGGAUGCCUUGACACUAGGAGUCGAUGAAGGACGGGACUAACGCCGAUAUGCUUCGGGGAGCUGUAAGUAAGCUUUGAUCCGAAGAUUUCCGAAUGGGGAAACCCACCAUACGUAAUGGUAUGGUAUCCUUAUCUGAAUACAUAGGGAAAGGAAGACAGACCCAGGGAACUGAAACAUCUAAGUACCUGGAGGAAGAGAAAGCAAAUGCGAUUUCCUGAGUAGCGGCGAGCGAAACGGAACAUAGCCCAAACCAAGAGGCUUGCCUCUUGGGGUUGUAGGACAUUCUAUACGGAGUUACAAAGGAACGAGGUAGACGAAGCGACCUGGAAAGGUCCGUCGUAGAGGGUAACAACCCCGUAGUCGAAACUUCGUUCUCU
rnacentral:rRNA from 1 species